rnacentral:rRNA from 1 species
GAUCUCGUACUUUUUGUAGAACGGACCGGCGAGUUACGUUAUGCAGCGAGGUUAAGGACUUAAGGUCUGGAGCCGAAGCGAAAGCGAGUCUGAAUAGGGCGGAUAGUUGCAUGACGUAGACCCGAAACCGGGUGACCUAUCCAUGGGCAGGUUGAAGUGGAAGUAAAAUUUCAUGGAGGACCGAACCAGACGUCUGUUGAAAAAGGCGGGGAUGACCUGUGGAUAGCGGAGAAAUUCCAAUCGAACCCGGAGAUAGCUGGUUCUCCUCGAAAUAGCUUUAGGGCUAGCCUCGCAUUAGUUUACCGGAGGUAGAGCACUGAAUGGUCUAGGGGGCCUCACCGCCUACCGAAACCUAUCAAACUGCGAAUGCCGGAUAAAUGAUGUGCGGGAGUCAGGCCGCGAGAGAUAAGUUCCGCGGUCAAAAGGGGAACACCCCAGAUCGUCUGCUAAGGUCCCCAAGUACGCGUUAAGUGGGAAAGGAUGUUGGAUUGCACAGACAACCAGGAUGUUGGCUUAGAAGCAGCCACACAUUCAAAGAGUGCGUAAUAGCUCACUGGUCGAGUGAUCCAGCGCCGAAAAUGUAACGGGGCUAAAACGCGACACCGAAGCAGCGGGAUGCGUAAGCAUCGGUAGAGGAGCAUUGUGUGAGGGUCGAAGCCAGAGCGGGAGCACUGGUGGACUUCACAGAAGAGAGAAUGCCGGUAUGAGUAGCGAGACCCAUGCGAGAAACAUGGGCGUCGAAGGCCCAAGGUUUCCUGGGGAAGGUUCAUCCACCCAGGGUAAGUCGGGACCUAAGCCGAGGACUGAGGUCGUAGGCGAUGGACAGCAGGUAGAGAUUCCUGCACCACUUACACUUGUUUGACGAAGCAGUGACACAGAAGGAUAGGACGAGCGCGGUGAUGGUCAACCGCGUAGGCGGCACGAGGCCGGGAAGCAGUGAAGUACACUUCCCGCGAAGGCUGAGUGUUGACAGGACCGAAAAGAAGUAGGGAAGCGUCCGAGUUCACGCUGGCGAGAAAAGCUGCUAAGGAGAGUGUGAGUGCCCGUACCGGAAACCGACGCAGGUGGGCGAGGAGAGAAUCCUGAGACGGACGGGAGAACUCUUGUUAAGGAACUCGGCAAAAUGACCCCGUAACUUCGGGAGAAGGGGUGCCUCGAAAGAGGCCGCAGAGAAUAGUCACAAGCGACUGUUUAGCAAAAACACAGGUAUCUGCGAAAGCGAGAGCUGACGUAUAGGUGCUGACACCUGCCCGGUGCUGGAAGGUUAAGGGAACAUGUUAGAGCAAUCGAAGCAUCGAACCGAAGCCCCAGUAAACGGCGGCCGUAACUAUAACGGUCCUAAGGUAGCGAAAUUCCUUGUCGGGUAAGUUCCGACCCGCACGAAUGGUGUAACGACUUGUGAGCUGUCUCAACAGGGGGCCCGGUGAAAUUGAAGUAUGGGUGAAGAUGCCCAUUACCCGCGACUGGACGGAGAGACCCCGUAGAGCUUUACUGCAGCCUGAUAUUGAGUUUCGGUAACUGAUGCACAGGAUAGGUGGGAGUCUGAGAGACAUGGGUUUCGGCUCAUGUGGAGACGAUGUUGGGAUACCACUCUUCGGUUACUGAAAUUCUAACAUAGCUCUGUGAAACCAGAGGAUGGACAGUGUCAGGUGGACAGUUUGACUGGGGCGGUCGCCUCCGAAAGAGUAACGGAGGCGCCCAAAGGUACCCUCAGAAUGGAUGGAAACCAUUCGAAGAGCGCAAAGGCAGAAGGGUGCCUGACUGCGAGAGUGACAACUCGAGCAGAGACGAAAGUCGGGCUUAGUGAUCCGGCGGUAUUGAGUGGAAAAGCCGUCGCUUAACGGAUAAAAGCUACCUCGGGGAUAACAGGCUGAUCUCCCCCAAGAGUCCACAUCGACGGGGAGGUUUGGCACCUCGAUGUCGGCUCGUCGCAUCCUGGGGCUGAAGCAGGUCCCAAGGGUUUGGCUGUUCGCCAAUUAAAGCGGCACGCGAGCUGGGUUCAGAACGUCGUGAGACAGUUCGGUCCCUAUCCAUCGUGGGCGCAGGAGAUUUGAGAAGAGCUGUCCUCAGUACGAGAGGACCGGGAUGGACGCACCAAGGGUGUAUCAGUUGUCACGCCAGUGGCACAGCUGGGUAGCCAAGUGCGGAUCGGAUAAACGCUGAAGGCAUCUAAGCGUGAAGCCGACUUCAAGAUAAGAUCUCCCAUCCGCAAGGAGUAAGGCCCCAUGUAGACCACAUGGUUGAUAGGUCGCAGGUGGAAGUGCAGUAAUGUACGCAGCUGAGCGAUACUAAUAGGCCGAGGGCUUGAUCAA